rnacentral:sRNA from 2 species
CCCCCUCUCAUCGGGGAGUAGCCACCGCCCGCGGGCGGGGCCGUGCCAACAGGCUUGCGCAAGGCGCGCAUGGCACGGCCAGCCGAAUCAUCGGCC